rnacentral:rRNA from 1 species
GCAGCCGCGGUAAUUCCAGCUCCAAUAGCGUAUAUUAAAGUUGUUGCAGUUAAAAAGCUCGUAGUUGAAUUUCGGGAUCAUCAGGUUGGUCGUGCCUCUGGUAUGUACUUUCCUCGAUGGUUCCUCCUUCUUGAAGAUCCGUAAUGUCAUUAACUUGGUGUUGCGGGGAAUCAGGACUGUUACUUUGAAAAAAUUAGAGUGUUUAAAGCAGGCAAUCGCUUGAAUACAUUAGCAUGGAAUAAUGAAAUAGGACGUUCGAUCCUAUUUUGUUGGUUUCUAGGAUUGACGUAAUGAUUAAUAGGGAUAGUUGGG